CGCGGCCUAUCAGCUUGUUGGUGGGGUAGUGGCCUACCAAGGCGACGACGGGUAGCCGGCCUGAGAGGGUGACCGGCCACACUGGGACUGAGACACGGCCCAGACUCCUACGGGAGGCAGCAGUGGGGAAUAUUGCGCAAUGGGCGGAAGCCUGACGCAGCGACGCCGCGUGGGGGAUGACGGCCUUCGGGUUGUAAACCUCUUUCAGUAGGGACGAAGCGCAAGUGACGGUACCUACAGAAGAAGCACCGGCCAACUACGUGCCAGCAGCCGCGGUAAUACGUAGGGCGCAAGCGUUGUCCGGAAUUAUUGGGCGUAAAGAGCUCGUAGGCGGUUUGUUGCGUCGGCUGUGAAAACCUGAGGCUCAACCUCAGGCCUGCAGUCGAUACGAGCAGACUAGAGUGUUGCAGGGGAGACUGGAAUUCCUGGUGUAGCGGUGAAAUGCGCAGAUAUCAGGAGGAACACCGGUGGCGAAGGCGGGUCUCUGGGCAACAACUGACGCUGAGGAGCGAAAGCGUGGGGAGCGAACAGGAUUAGAUACCCUGGUAGUCCACGCCGUAAACGUUGGGCGCUAGGUGUGGGGCUCAUUCCACGAGUUCCGUGCCGCAGCUAACGCAUUAAGCGCCCCGCCUGGGGAGUACGG
rnacentral:rRNA from 1 species